CUCACCUGGUGCUCUCCACGUUGGGCUCGAAGGGGCAGAACCGGACCACGAUACUCUUCACCGGCCGCAGCACCAGGUUCCUUUUGUUACUGGAAGGCAACAACAAGAUCUCCCCCAGAGAUUUAUCUCCUUCAGGCUGAGCAACCAUGACCCUCUCAGCCUUUCCUUGUAGGAGCAGAGCUCUGAUCAUAUUCGUGGUCUUCCUCUGGACCUGCUCCAACAAGUUGAUGUUUUUUGUGUACUGAGGACUCCAGAGCUGGAUGCAGCAGUCCAGAUCUUUUGGAUCCUGGGAAGAUUCUUCUGCUUUUCCUCCUGUUUCUUACUCAGCUACUUUCACGUUGCAUUCUGUUUUCUGACUAUAGAAAGGUCCACAGUUUCAGAACUCUCCAUGGUUUUGGCACGCCUGCUUUUAGCACCUUAGCUCUGCCUUUUGACUGCUCUUCAAAUGCUGCAUGAGAGAGGCUUCUCAAGGCUGCAUUUCAGGUGUGGUGUAACACCUCCCUGUGUUUAUUGGAUUCUGGAGACUUGGAUCCUUACCUCUGACUGUCCUCAGCUGAUUGCCUCCUCUGCAUCUUUAUCCUUUUUCUGCUGAGUCUUUCUCUGAGCCUUGUCACAAACGUCAAUAGGCCUGGAAUUUAGCAAUCAAAAUGUCACAUCUACACAUCUAGUUAUAAUGCUGUGUAGUCCAGGAAAAAAAAUUAAUGCUGCCUUCAGGGCAGUAGGCAGUGCUGAGGAGGAGUGAACCAACACAAAGCCAGCAGCCUGCCUGUUCUGCACCGAGGUGAUGCUUCCAAAUGACCACCCAGGAGAGGCUCUUUGGGAAAGAUUGUGUGCUGGGCCUGACAGGAGAAGCAAAUUAUUUCUGGAAACAGAAAACCACUCUGACAGGUGCAAUAUCAUGGAGCAUAUCUUCGAAAGAGCAAUGGACAGAGAGACAGUCAAGAUCACAAAGGACUUGCAGCAAGUCAUUAUAAAAUACUUGUGCCACAUUGAAGCACAUGUUGGAAUGAAUUCCCUACCAUACUGGAGGAACACUGCUUGUAGUCAUAAAAAGAUAAACCAGUCUGUGUUUUCUGUCUGGCUUUGUUUCUUCCUUUGAACUGAGUAUUUUACACCAUAUGUCAGUCACUGAAUUUUAAAAAUAUUUUCCCAAAGAGAAGAGCUGAUAAAGGUCCUUUAUUCUCUGAAAAUUGUGGACGUCAAGCAUAAUUUCCUACUAAGAGUACAACAAAUUUUGCAUUUUAUUUAUAAACCAGCUAAUAGUUGUAUGCUGUUAAUGUGGUUUUCAAAAAUAAAAACAAAAAAUAAAAUCAACCAGCAAAGAUGUAAUUUACAAUGAGCCUGCUUUAUAAUUAAUUCUGAAAUAAUAACUCUGCGUAUCAGUUCAGAAAAGCUCUUAUGGGAGUGAAUAAACAGAUUCCCUAGUUGCUCUUUACUUCUCUGCAAACAUGUAUUUCUAUUGCCUGAGGUUAACAACUGUCAGCAGAAAUGUUUGCUAAAAUGAUAUGCAGCAUUUAACUGGCUGAGAACAUACUGUGCCAAUUCCUGAUUUGUAACUUAAUUUCUUGA